CUAUGAUAAUUAAUAAACAGCACGUAAAUAUUAAAUUCAAAUAUUGUUUAUUAAAUAUAAGUAAAUAUAAUAUUAUUUUUUGAAAGGUAAUGAAAAAUUUAUUAGAAUGAAGCUUGAAGCAUUACAAUAGAUAAAAGUUCAUUUCGAGUAUUAUUUUUGGUAAACAUACGAACUGGAUAGAAACAAGAGCUACACGCAAUACCAUGCGCAGCUUUGUUUACAGAUCGUUUAACAAAAUGAAUCUCAACAGACUUUAAACAGUCUAAAAUGAGCUUACAAUCCUAGACCAAAAGACCAAAGGGUGAUGGCAUAUAGAUUGAGCUAUGCAAAGCUUGGAUAGCAACCAAACAAUUAGUUUCAAGUUAUACAUCCAUCCAGCCCUUUCUCUUAAUCCAAAUAAGAGUCUCCUUAAUGCUGACGAUCUCAACGAUGGCAUCAUCAACACAGCCAGGCUUACUCGUAGAAAAAGCUUUAAGAAGCUGACCACGACAGUCACGGGCCACACCUCUAGCCCCCUACCAGCCUUUCGAAAGAAAUAAAGCACCAUCAACAUUUACCUUAAUCUUGUUCAAACCUAGUUCAGUAUAAUGCUCAAGUCCUGUGUCCAAACCCGAAGAAAAAAAACAAAGGACCAUAUUUUUUAGAUUGAGAAACCUUCCACUGAUUAAGAACUGAUCUUGCUGAAAGCACCACAUCAAAAGACGUAGCAUACUUUCCCCUUUCAAACUACAUCAUUGCGGGCAUUCCAAAUCGCCUAGCCGAGCAUCGCUGCUUCCUCAAAAAUUGCAUCAGAACAAGGCUUCUGAUGUGGAAAAUGGAUAGCUUCCAAACAAACUUCCACAUAGCCACAUCAUUUACAUCCACCUGCUUGGAAUGAUCUUUGGCAAUGAACUAGGGGAUUGUGCUUUGUGUGAUGAAGUGAAUAGGAAUACCACAAGCAAUCUUUUGGGUGGAUGUGACUUGAUCAAAAGACUUUGAUUUACAAGCAAGUGGAAUCUGAGAAUUGAGACUUUGAAUUUGGUUUUGGGACAGGAGCUUCUCAAGUGGAUCCUUAACCAUCCUUUCCUCAAGAAAGAAGAUUGCAGUGAAGUUAAAAUGGAGGUUUAUCUUUGCAGCCUGUCUUUAUCACAAAAUGUGGAAUGCAAAGAAAGUGAGAGUGAUAGUCAAAGAUGGUUUUGGUAAUACUAUAUUAUCGAUGGUUUAUUGAUGGCAGGCUGAUAUUUUCUUGCUAAGUAAUUUAAAUGAUUAUCGAUGGUUUAUUAAUAGUAUAUUGGUGGUUUAUCGAUGAUUCUGUCUUGUGUGAUACUUUUGUUAUUUUUUACUAUAUUUUGUCUAGAGUCUAAAUAGUAUCAAUGUACCAUUAAAAAAUUAUCGAAAAUUUUCAUCAAUUAUCGAGAA